rnacentral:lncRNA from 1 species
AAAUAAUACAACAAUAAUACAUAAAUACACGCAAACAAAAAAAAAAAAUGCAUAAACAGAUUACAGCGUAUUAUUUCAAAACAUCUCAUUUCAAUUAUACAUAUACAUAUAUACAUAUAUUUUUUUUAUGGUAAUUUUAGCGAAUUAAGCAAUGUAAAUCAAUCAGAAGAAUUAAUCAGACUUCAAAAAGAAAAUGAAAAAUUAAGAAAUAAAAUAGAAUCUGAUACAAAUAAAGAAUCAAAGAGAGUGAAAGAAGUUAGUUUAAUAACUUUAUUAUGCAUUCAAGUUGUAUACAAAUUCACACAUAUGUAUAUAUGUAUGGUACACCUAAGUUAGUGAGAAAAUUUAUUUUACAUAUUUUUUUUACGUAACCGUAUUUUUACCCUGUUUUAUUUUAGCUUGAAAAAGAACUCAAGGAUUUGAAAGAAAUAAAUAACAAUUUAAAGAAUGAAGUAUUAAAAGACACAAAUAAUAACAACGCUCAAACUAAUCCACAACAGGAGAAAUAUGAAGCACAAAAUGUAAAAAUAUCACACUCUUUUUGUAAAGAAUAUUUUUUUUUGUUUAUUUUAUAUAUAUUUUUUUAAAUAGAUACGUUUAUUUUAUAUAUUUUUUUUAGAUAGAUACGUUUAUCUUAUAUUUAUUUUUUUAUAUACUUAUCAAUUUAUUUACUAACUUUUUUCUAAUGUUAUUUGUGUUUUGGCUGCAGGAAAAAAUCAUCAAAUUAGAAGCUGAGCUAUUAAUUGAAAAAAAAAAUAGUACAAUUAUUGAAGAAACGACUAAAAAUAAAUUAACAAAGGAAUUUAAUGCUGCAUUGCAAAUUUUUAAAGAACAAUUACAAAUUAGGGAAAAGGAAACUGAAUAUUACAAAGAAACAAUGAAAACACAGAUAGAUACUUUUAAAGACGAACAAAAAUUAUUAAGCGAUAUUAUUCACAACUUAGGCCUAAAAUAUAAACAAUUACAAACUUAUAAUCUUUGUUUAAAGAAUGAAAUUACAGGAAUUAAAUUAAGGUAUUAUUUCACAUUUUAUUAUUAUAUUUUAUUUUUUUUUACUUGUUAAACACAUAAAAUGCUUCGUACAUAUAAACAUUUUCUCUAUGACAUAUUAUUUUAUUUUGUUUUUUUUUAAUAUAUAUAGAACCAAAGCUUGUACAAAUUCCGACAACAAAUAAAAUCCCAGUUUUAUACA